rnacentral:rRNA from 1 species
AAUGGCCGCAGUACUUUAACUGUGCAAAGGUAGCAUAAUAAUUUGUUUUUUAAUUGGAAACUUGUAUGAAUGGUCAUACGAGGGAUUGACUUUCUUUAUCUUAUAUUAAUUAAUUUUAUUUCUCUGUGAAAAAGCAGAGAUGUAUUUAUUAGACGAUAAGACCCUUUAAAACUUUAUUUAUUAUAAAAGCAUGAGUUUUUAGUUGUUUUUUUGUGCUAUUUUUAGUGAAUUUUGUUGGGGCGACAGGUAAAUUUAUUGAACUUUACUUUUUUAUAUCACAAAUUAGUGUUUGUUUGAUCCAGGUUUAUGUUCUGAUUAAAAGCUUAAGUUACUUUAGGGAUAACAGCGAAAAGNCCACCUCUUAAUUAGAAAGAGACCCAGGGUAUGUCCUCUUGUGUAGUGCAGUUGAGACACUGAAGCACCUCCUANAAGAACGCGAAAAGAUGCCACGACACCUAUAGCGGUGCGACCUAUCUUCCGAUAUCUCNAAAAUUGUUANGNAUAACAGCUUAAA